UACAGAGGUCCCAAGCGUUGUUCGGAUUCACUGGGCGUAAAGGGUGCGUAGGUGGUGAGGUAAGUCGGAUGUGAAAUCUCCGGGCUCAACCCGGAAAUGGCAUUGGAAACUACCUUGCUGGAGGGUUUGAGGGGGGAGUGGAAUACUUGGUGUAGCAGUGAAAUGCGUAGAUAUCAAGUGGAACACCAGUGGCGAAGGCGAAUCCCUGGAAAAUACCUGACACUGAGGCGCGAAAGCUAGGGGAGCAAACAGG
rnacentral:rRNA from 1 species